GACGAACGCUGGCGGCGUGCCUAAUACAUGCAAGUCGAACGAGAGCGACCGGUGCUUGCACUGGUCAAUCUAGUGGCGAACGGGUGAGUAACACGUGGGUAACCUGCCCAUCAGAGGGGGAUAACAUUCGGAAACGGAUGCUAAAACCGCAUAGGUCUUCGAGCCGCAUGGCUUGAAGAGGAAAAGCGGCGCAAGCUUCUGCUGUAGGAUGGUCCCGCGGUGAAUUAGCUAGUUGGUGAGGUAACGGCUCACCAAGGCCGUGAUGCAUAGCCGACCUGAGAGGGUGAUCGGCCACAUUGGGACUGAGACACGGCCCAAACUCCUACGGGAGGCAGCAGUAGGGAAUCUUCCGCAAUGGACGCAAGUCUGACGGAGCAACGCCGCGUGAGUGAAGAAGGUUUUCGGAUCGUAAAACUCUGUUGUUAGAGAAGAACAAGUGCUAAAGUAACUGUUAGCGCCUUGACGGUAUCUAACCAGAAAGCCACGGCUAACUACGUG
rnacentral:rRNA from 1 species